GGAGGUACAACAAGCUGAGGAAGAAGAAGAAAGCGCUGCUGGCCUUGAAGAAGCAAAGUUCAGGAGCUCAGAGCAGCCAGGGAGGCAUCAAA